CCGAGUUUACAACUCCCAAACCCAAUGUGAACAUACCUAAACGUUGCCUCGGCGGGACCGCCCCGGCGCCCCUCGGGCCCGGAACCAGGCGCCCGCCGCAGGGAAACAAACCUCUGUUUUUGUUAAGAUUUCUCCUCUGAGUGGAUUUUACAAAUAAAUCA
rnacentral:misc_RNA from 1 species